UCUUCAGCAGCUGGGGAAACCCAGACAGGAAGUCUUCAGAAAGAGGCCUUCUGCUUUACUCUUCCACAGCAAGAGGUCCACCAUUGCUGCUGUCUGCUAGUUACUAGACUGUGCAGUCUGCAAAGGGGACUGCAUUAGUGUGGAAGGAGACGACAGUAGAGCUCGGGAAGGAGGAGAGGUUGGAACAUGCAAAGAUGACAUUGUGGGAGUGGAGGAUAGAAGAGUGGAUCUACAGUUGGGGAGGACAGGGAAGGAAAACAGAAAUACUCAAUGUCAGGUACAAGACUACAGCU